CUGUCUCUUUGAAGGUGAACCAGGUCAUCUUGUUCCAUCAUCAUCACAAUUUCUGGUAGAGAGUGAUCUGUUCCUUGUUGCAGGACGAAUGAUUGGACUUUCUUUCCUACAUGGUGGACCUCGGCUGGCUGGAGUCAGCCAAGCAAUAGUCCAUGUACUACUAGAGGUUCACCUGAGACUGCUACAGUGCAGAUAGAAGACUGUCCUGACCAUGAUAUUCAUGAAACCAGAAAACUGGUCACUGGAAGGAGAUGACGGCAGGUGAAACAAAUACGUAAAGGACUCAAAGAAACCAGAGUGUGGCCGCUGCUGACUGAAAGGAAAGAUGUGGAUAUCUUUCAGAGGGAAUGUGAAAAUUCACUCACCCCUUUGAUGCUGCUUCCCUGUAUCUGCUGGCCCUCUGAUAGCAGUGUGGAUGAUGACGACGAGCACGAUUGUUCACUAGAAGAUAGAUGUCACAUCUCAGGGUAUCUGCAUCACUUCAUUGAGACAG